GCCCCCGUGGCGAAGUUGGUAGACGCGCGAGCUUCAAAAGCUCGUGCCGCAAGGCGUGCCGGUUCAACCCCCGGCCGGGGGCA
rnacentral:tRNA from 1 species